GCCGGGCGUGUUGGCGCACGCAUUUAAUCCCAGCACUCGGGAGGCAGAGGCAGGCGGAUUUCUGAGUUCGAGGCCAGCCUGGUCUACAAAGUGAGCUCCAGAACAGCCAGGGCUACACAGAGAAACCCUGUCUCAAAAAAAAAAAAAAAAAAAAAAAAAGAGAGAGAGAAAGGAUCUUGCUUUUAAACCCUGGUUGGUCUAGUAUUUGCUGUGUAGACAAGGCUGGCCUUGUUCACAGAGAUGGACCUGCCU
rnacentral:lncRNA from 1 species